UACGGAGGAUCCAAGCGUUAUCCGGAAUGAUUGGGCGUAAAGCGUCCGCAGGUGGCUGUGUAAGUCUGCUGUCAAAGAGCGAAGCUCAACUUCGUAAAGGCAGUGGAAACUACACGGCUAGAGUGCGUUCGGGGCAGAGGGAAUUCCUGGUGUAGCGGUGAAAUGCGUAGAGAUCAGGAAGAACACCUGCGGCGAAGGCGGGUUGCUGGGCCGACACUGACGCUGAGGCGCGAAAGCCAGGGGAGCGAACGGG
rnacentral:rRNA from 1 species